rnacentral:rRNA from 1 species
GACGUAGGGUGCAAGCGUUGUCCGGAAUUAUUGGGCGUAAAGAGUUCGUAGGCGGUUGCUUAAGUCUAGUGUUAAAGCCCGAUGCUCAACGUCGGCAUGGCAUUGGAAACUGGGCGGCUGGAGUGUGUCAGAGGUUACGGGAAUUCCUGGUGUAGCGGUGAAAUGCGUAGAUAUCAGGAGGAACACCGGUGGCGAAAGCGCGUAACUGGGGCAUAACUGACGCUGAGGAACGAAAGCCAGGGUAUCCAAAGGG